rnacentral:lncRNA from 13 species
UACACCACAUAUAUUUUGUACAGUAAGUUUACACACAAAAUGGAUGGAUCUUCCUACCUUUUCAAAUUCACUAGUCACUCGCACAAUGACCACAGGCCCACAUGGAAGUGAUGGGUAGAUUAUAUUUGAACCUUGGUUGUUUAUAUUUGAACAGUGCAUAAUAUAGAUUUCAGUACUUUGAGUUAAGAAUGCUGCAAUAUUAUUUUAGUCUUUCUAACUUCAGAUAGUAGCCUAUGUUGAACAUUAGAAACGCCGUGGAACUAAUUGACCAACAUCAGUGAGUCCGCGCGGAUUAAUUGUAUCGUUGUUGGACACCUGAUAUUAUUCCUGCUGGCACCAGUUGAAAACCUAGACCCCAACCAUUGUGAGCGCGGGCUGAAAAAGCCCACGUCCUUUCUGGAGAUGAAAAGCGAGAACCGGAGUAGACAGACCAAGCAUAAUGUACAGAAUAAGUCCAAGAGUCCAAAAGUCACCAGAAGACUGAAAAGGUGUCUUUGGCUUUUCCCACCUCUUGACUUGGAGGAGGAUGCAGCUCCGGUCCCUGUGUCUGACUCCACCAGAGAACCACCAGAGACCAGGAUGUCAAAGAAGAAGAAGACUUUCCCCAGACCACCUGUCACACAGGAUGCAGAGACGUUUCAUGAUGGCCCAACUAGCACCAGUAGCACCAAUACCAUCCCAAAGAGAAGGUGCCUGUUCCCAACCCUGAUGUCUGAGCCAGACCCAGUACCUCUCUCUGAUCCAGCAGAGACCAGCGAGCCCCAGCAGAAGGCAGGAAUCUUCAACCCACCUGCCACAAAGCGACUGAAGAGGACCAGAAAGUUGGAGCCAGCCCCAGGCCUUUUCUCUGAGCCACCAGAGAGCAUGAAGUCAAAGGAAAUGGAGAUCCCAGGUCCACCUGCCACAAAGAGACUGAAGAGGACCAGGAAGUUGGAGCCAACUCCAGCCCCUCUCUCUGAACCUCCAGACACCAGCAAGUCAAAGAAGAAGAAAAUAAUCCCUGGCCCACCUGCCAGUCAGCAAGUGAAGAGAUCCAGAUGUCCUCCCAGCCCCUGGACCCCUAACCUAGUGGAGAUUAGACGUAGGACACCUACAGCCAGACCUCCUACCUGUGAGAUAGGUGUAACUACGUUUACCUUGAGAUCGAAGGUAGCGACAGGCCCUACCUUGAAGUCAGGUGUAGUCACAUCCCCAUCUAGCGGUGAAGCCUUUUCAACAUCCCCUGAGAGGAAGAAGAACAGGAAGAGGGCCAAGUGCAGUGGUGCGGCCGUUCCCGCCCCCCCUGAGAGGAAGAUGAAGAAGAGGGCGAGGUGCUGCCCUGUCCCGCUGAACAACCCCUUGUCUGUCUGUCGGUCGCAGAGGGCCACCCAGGGCAGGAAGGCCUGUGUGUGGUGUAAACAGGAGAAAGAGUGGAUGAAGACCAUCUGGCAGUGUGAGGCCUGUCAGGUGGCCCUCUGUCUCAUACCGGGCAGAAACUGCUUCAGGGCCUGGCACAAGACUCACAAGUGGAACGAGGAAGUCAUCUUCAGUCUGUUUUCUUAAAUGUUGUCAAAUAUGUGGGUUUGGAGCCUCAGCAUGAGAUAUUAAUGGUUUGUGGUCAAAAAAGCCCACUUUCAGUUCCUAGUUCAUAUGGUUUUAGUAUAAUUCAGGCAUACAUGCAUUAAAUAAGAAAUAUUUCCUUUGUGGGUGUUUUUGCAAGAAAAGGAAGUUGAAAAGUUUCCUACAUUUUCUUAAAAGCCCUUUCCUCAUGUUGUUUAAGUUGACAUAUUAAAUACAUUGUUAAAAAACAAAUAUGCCUCUUUCAAAUGUGUGCACUUUGUACAUUACUUUACAGUUCUUGUUCUUACAACUAACCGUGGUCCAAACAGUAUCUUUCAAUGCUACAAAGACAGAUGAACUCAUAAAACAACCGUGCACAGUGCCUUAAGUAUUCAUAGCCCUUGACUUAUUCCACAUUUUGUUACAGCCUGAAUUCAAAACGUAUAAAAAUCGAUUUUUCUCACCCAUCUACACACAAUGCCCCAUAAUGAGGAAGGGAAAAUGUUGUUGUUAACGGACUUGCCUGGUUAAAUAAAUGUAUAUACCGGUAAGUAUUCACACCCGAGUCAAUACAUGUUAGAAUCACCUUUGCCAGCGAUUACAGCUGUGAGACAUUCUGGGUAAGUCUAAGAGCUUUGCACAUGUGGAUUGUACAAUAUUUGCACAUUAUUCUUAAAAAAAUUAUUCAAGCUCUGUUAGGUUGAUUGUUGAUCAUGGCUAGACAGCCAUUUCAAUCUUGCCAUAGAUUUUCAAGCUGAUUUAAGUUAAAACAAACUAGGCCACUCAAGAUUAUUCAAUGUCGUCUUGGUAAGCAGCUCCAGUGUAUAUUUGGCCUGGUGUUUCAAGUUAUUGUCCUACUGAAAGGUGAAUUUGUCUCACAGUGUCUGUUGGAAAGCAGACCGAACCAGGUUUUCCUCUCUCAUUUUGCAUGUGCUUCGCUCUAUUCAGUUUAUUUUUAUAAGUAAAACUUGCUAGCUCUUUCUGAUGAAAAGCAUACCCAUAAAAUGAUGCAGCCACCACCAUGCUUGAAAAUAUGAUAAAUGCUACUCUGUGAUGUGUUGGAUUUGCCCCAAACAUAACACUUUCUGUUCAGGACAAAGUUAAUUUUGUUGCCAUUUUUACUUUAGUCCCUUAUUGCAAACAGGAUGCAUGUUUUGGAAUAUUUGUAUUCUGUACAGGCUUCCUUCUUUACACUCUGUAAUUUAGGUUAGUAUUGUGAAGCAACUACAAUGUUGUUGAGCAAUUCCCAGUUCUCCUAUCACAGCAAUUAAACUCUGUAACUGUUUUAAUGUCACCAUUGGCCUCAUGGUGAAAUCCCUGAGCAGUUUCCUUCCUCUCUGGCAACUGAGUUAGGAAGGACACGUAUCUUUGUAGUGACUGGGUGUAUUGAUACACCGUCCAAAGUGUAAUUACAGUGCCUUGCGAAAGUAUUCGGCCCCCUUGAACUUUGCGACCUUUUGCCACAUUUCAGGCUUCAAACAUAAAGAUAUAAAACUGUAUUUUUUUGUGAAGAAUCAACAA